rnacentral:lncRNA from 1 species
CUCCCAACUGCACUUCACUUACAUGAGGAACAGAUUCUACAGGAGGCGGUGUAAUCGAUGGGCUACUUGGUUCUGUUUUGAUGGCAACAUUUGUCAUGAUCUGGAAAAGUUAUUCAUUCUUAUUUUUACCUCCGAGCUGAGCUAACAAUGAACCAUUUAUUUUGAAUCACGAGCUCAGAUGCACCC